rnacentral:rRNA from 1 species
UACGAAGGGGGCUAGCGUUGCUCGGAAUCACUGGGCGUAAAGGGCGCGUAGGCGGCCAUUCAAGUCGGGGGUGAAAGCCUGUGGCUCAACCACAGAAUUGCCUUCGAUACUGUUUGGCUUGAGACCGGAAGAGGUUAGUGGAACUGCGAGUGUAGAGGUGAAAUUCGUAGAUAUUCGCAAGAACACCGGUGGCGAAGGCGGCCAACUGGUCCGAUACUGACGCUGAGGCGCGAAAGCGUGGGGAGCAAACAGG